GUAGGGUGCGAGCGUUAAUCGGAAUUACUGGGCGUAAAGCGUGCGCAGGCUGUUUUGUAAGUCAGAUGUGAAAUCCCUGAGCUCAACUUAGGAACUGCGUUUGAAACUACAAGACUAGAAUAUGUCAGAGGGGGGUAGAAUUCCACGUGUAGCAGUGAAAUGCGUAGAGAUGUGGAGGAAUACCAAUGGCGAAGGCAGCCCCCUGGGAUAAUAUUGACGCUCAUGCACGAAAGCGUGGGGAGCAAACAGGAUUAGAUACCCUGGUAGUCCACGCCCUAAACGAUGUCUACUAGUUGUUGGUGGAGUAAAAUCCAUGAGUAACGCAGCUAACGCGUGAAGUAGACCGCCUGGGGAGUACGGUCGCAAGAUUA
rnacentral:rRNA from 1 species